AUCAACGGCCAUACCACAAUGAACACACCGGUUCUCGUCCGAUCACCGAAUUUAAGCAUUGUCGGGCACGCUUAAUACUAAGAUGGGAGUUUUGUUGGCUUUUUCUG
rnacentral:rRNA from 1 species